AUUGAACGCUGGCGGCAGGCCUAACACAUGCAAGUCGAGCGGUAGAGAGGUGCUUGCAUCUCUUGAGAGCGGCGGACGGGUGAGUAAUGCCUAGGAAUCUGCCUAGUGGUGGGGGAUAACGUUCGGAAACGGACGCUAAUACCGCAUACGUCCUACGGGAGAAAGCGGGGGAUCUUCGGACCUCGCGCCAUUAGAUGAGCCUAGGUCGGAUUAGCUAGUUGGUGAGGUAAUGGCUCACCAAGGCGACGAUCCGUAACUGGUCUGA
rnacentral:rRNA from 1 species